GAUGAACGCUGGCGGCGUGCUUAACACAUGCAAGUCGAACGAUGAAGCCCAGCUUGCUGGGUGGAUUAGUGGCGAACGGGUGAGUAACACGUGAGUAACCUGCCCUUGACUCUGGGAUAAGCCUGGGAAACUGGGUCUAAUACUGGAUAUGACUUCUCAUCGCAUGGUGGGGGGUGGAAAGAUUUAUUGGUCUUGGAUGGACUCGCGGCCUAUCAGCUUGUUGGUGAGGUAAUGGCUCACCAAGGCGACGACGGGUAGCCGGCCUGAGAGGGUGACCGGCCACACUGGGACUGAGACACGGCCCAGACUCCUACGGGAGGCAGCAGUGGGGAAUAUUGCACAAUGGGCGAAAGCCUGAUGCAGCGACGCCGCGUGAGGGAUGACGGCCUUCGGGUUGUAAACCUCUUUCAGUAGGGAAGAAGCGAGAGUGACGGUACCUGCAGAAGAAGCGCCGGCUAACUACGUG
rnacentral:rRNA from 1 species